GACGAACGCUGGCGGCGUGCCUAAUACAUGCAAGUAGGACGCAGUUGCGAACGGGUGAGUAACGCGUAGGUAACUACCUAUUAGUGGGGGCUAACUAUUGGAAACGAUAGCUAAUACCGCAUACUAGUAGAUGGACCUGCGUUGUAUUAGCUAGUAGGUAGGGUAAUGGCCUACCUAGGCAACGAUACAUAACCGACCUGGAGGGGUGGUCGGCCACACUGGGACUGGGAAACGGCCCAGACUCCUACGGGAGGCAGCAGUAGGGAAUCUUCGGAAAUGGGGGGCAACCUGGACGAGCAACGCCCGGGGAGUGAAGAAGGUUUUCGGAUCGUAAAACUAUGUUGUUAAGGAAGCGGUACUUAACCAGAAAGGGACGGCUAACUACGUGCCAGCAGCCGCGGUAAUAC
rnacentral:rRNA from 1 species